rnacentral:misc_RNA from 1 species
GAAAUGUGAUAAGUAAUGUGAAUUGCAGAAUUCAGUGAAUCAUCGAAUCUUUGAACGCACCUUGCGCUCUCUGGUAUUCCGGAGAGCAUGCCUGUUUGAGUGUCAUGAACUCUUCAACCCACCUAUUUCUUGUAAAUUGUUGUGGUGUUUGGAUUUUGAAUGUCUGCUGGCCUUUUUGGCGAAGCUCAUUCGUAAUGCAUUAGCAUCUCAAAUUCGUCUUUCGGAUUGACUCAGCGUGAUAGACUUUCUUCGCUGAGGACAUUAGAUUUUUUAAUGGCCGAUUUUCGUAAAGUAGAAGCUUCUAAUCAAGUCAACUUUUGAUUUAGACCUCAAAUCAGGUAGGAUUACCCGCUGAACUUAA